rnacentral:rRNA from 1 species
CAGUAGCCGCGGGAAUACGAAGGGUGCAAGCGUUAAUCGGAAUUACUGGGCGUAAAGCGUGCGUAGGCGGUGAGUUAAGUCUGCUGUGAAAUCCCCGGGCUCAACCUGGGAAUGGCAGUGGAUACUGGCUCGCUAGAGUGUGUCAGAGGAUGGUGGAAUUCCCGGUGUAGCGGUGAAAUUCGCAGAUAUUCGGAAGAACACCAGUGGCGAAGGCGACACACUGGCCCGUUACUGACGCUGAGGCGCGAAAGCGUGGGGAGCAAACAGGAUUAGAGACCCCGGUAGUCCCUGUCUCUUAUAC